AAUGGGAGAGAGCCGCGGGCGCAGGCGCGGAGCGCGACGGCGAGCGCGCGCGCGCCGGAAAGGCGCGCCCUCUUCUCCCCCCCGUCCCCUCCCUCCCUCGCUGCAGCAGAAGCGGCUGAGGGCGGCCAUUUUGUGCGGCUGAGGGCGGCCAUUUUGCGCUGCUGGGUAGGGGCGGCGGAUGGGGGGAGGGGACGAGGCUUCGCUCAGAGACGGUGAAGACGGGCAGAGGCUUCCCUUCCCUCACGCACACGGCGCAAGAUGGCCGGGGAGGCAGCAGCUCGCCGCCCGUGCUCCCCGGACGCACCUCCGCCUUCACCUCCCUCCCGACGCCCCUCGCAGAAACCCGCCCGGCCUGAGGCUGCUCGGGGGCUUCGGCCGGGCCCGGGGAGGGUCUCCGGUCCUCCUCGGGGCGGGAAGGGAACGAAACGCGCCCGGGGGGUCGUUCGGGGCUCUCCCCCCCGCGGCCCCGCGCCCUUCCCCGGGUCGGGGUUCGAGUUCGGCGCGGCCGCCGCUCCUCGGCUUCGGACGGUAUUCGUUGAAUGCUUAUCCCUGCGAUAACUGAUGGCUUUCGGAUGAACUAUAGAAUCUGUUCCCAAUAGAUUGCUUUGGGUUCUGCCCACUGGGCAUUCCUUAUGGUGGUAGAAGAGGAAAUGCAGAAUCCUGUAAACUAAUUCAGAUAACAUUGAUGGAUUGAAUGUAUUUCAUACCUGAUGCAGGCUGAAGCACUGAGUCCAGACAAAGGAAGAAUCUCAAAGAGAGACUGCAAGAGUUCCAAAUCAAGAUGGCAGUUCCUACUGAUUGAGAGGUUGAGAAAAUGAUCUAAUGCAUGGUUGCCGAGUAUAUCCAUCCAAGACAGGGGCACUUUAGAAUGGACUACGCUGUUUUCUAAACCAAAGAAGACUGGGCCUUAUGGUCAUCUUACAAAUGAUUUUUUAAAAAUUAAACGUUUUAAGUCUUGUAUCAAUGCAAACUUGUUUGGGGAGAUGGAAGUGGCUUACUCAAUUCUGGUACCAUACAUGUUUGACUCCUGUCUGUUGGCAGAAGCGCAAUUCAAUCUCAAAUUAUUUAAAUAAAAGGUUUUUUUACAUUUUUA